rnacentral:rRNA from 1 species
UGCGUAGGCGGAAGAUUAAGUCAGUGAUGAAAUCCUGCAGCUCAACUGUAGAACUGUCAUUGAUACUGAUUUUCUUGAAUACAGUUGAGGUAGGCGGAAUAUGUAAUGUAGCGGUGAAAUGCUUAGAUAUUACAUAGAACACCGAUUGCGAAGGCAGCUUACUAAACUGUGAUUGACGCUGAGGCACGAAAGCGUGGGAAGCGAACAGGAUUAGAUACCCUGGUAGUCC